rnacentral:rRNA from 1 species
AUUCCAAUCGAACUCGGAGAUAGCUGGUUCUCCCCGAAAUAGCUUUAGGGCUAGCCUCAUAUUAGAUACCCGGAGGUAAAGCACUGAAUGGCCUAGCGCCCGAGAGGGUAGCGAAGCCUAUCAAACUAAGAAUGCCGGAGUAUUGAUGUAUGGGAGUCAGACAGUGUGAGAUAAAUCUCAUUGUCAAAAGGGAAACAGCCCAGAUCUACAGCUAAGGUCCCAAAUUGUAUCUAAGUGGAAAACGAUGUGGAAAUACGCAGACAACCAGGAUGUUGGCUCAGAAGCAGCCACUCAUUUAAAGAGUGCGUAAUAGCUCACUGGUCGAGCGUCUCUGCGCGGAAAAUUUAACGGGGCUAAGAUACAAACCGAAGCUUAGGCUGCAUCGUAAGAUGCGGGGUAGGGGAGCGUUGUGUAAGCGGAGAAACAGUAGCGUAAGCGGCUGUGGAGUUUACAGAAGUGAGAAUGCCGGAAUGAGUAGCGCGAAUGUGGUGAGAAUCCACAUGGCCGGAAACCUCAGGUUUUUGGAGGAAGGUUCGUCCGCUCCAAGUUAGGCGGGAGCUAAGGUCAGGCCGAAAGGCGUAGCCGAUGCACAGACGGUAGAGAUUCCGUCCCCACCGAAAGAUUUAAGCACAGGGACACUUUUUGAAGGUCGGAGCCAGGUGUUGGUUCUGGUAGUGAUCGAGGGAAAUAUAGUACCGAAGUCCGGCUGGAAGAGAGGCGAGAAAAGCUGUGUGUAUAUCUAAGGUGCCCGUACCGCAAACCGACACAGGUAGGUAGGAAGAAGAUUCUAAGGCCAACGGGAGAAGGGUUGUUAAGGAACUCGGCAAGUUGACCCCGUAACUUCGGAAUAAGGGGUGCUCACGAGAGUGAGCCGCAGAGAAUAGGCCCAGGCAACUGUUUACCAAAAACACAGGUUUGUGCUAAAUCGAAAGAUGACGUAUACGAGCUGACGCCUGCCCGGUGCUGGAAGGUUAAAAGGAGAUGUGCAAGCAUUGAAUUGAAGCCCCAGUGAACGGCGGCCGUAACUAUAACGGUCCUAAGGUAGCGAAAUUCCUUGUCAGGUAAGUUCUGACCCGCAUGAAAGGCGUAAUGAUUUGGGCACUGUCUCAACAGCCCGCCCGGCGAAAUUGUAGUACCGGUGAAGAUGCCGGUUACCCGCGACAAGACGGAAAGACCCCAUGGAGCUUUACUGUAGCCUGAUAUUGGGUUUCGGUGUUGCAUGCACAGGAUAGAUGGGACGCUGGGAAAGAAGCGCUUUGGCGUUUCUGGAGCGGACGUUGGGAUACCAUCCUUGCGACAUUGGAAUUCUAACCUGCGCCUCUGAAUCGAGGCGGGGGACAUUGUCAGGUGGGCAGUUUGACUGGGGCGGUCGCCUCCUAAAAAGUAGCGGAGGCGUUCAAAGGUUCGUUCGAUCUGGACGGAAACCAGAUGAUUGAGUGCAAACGCAUAAACGAGCCUGACUGCGAGACUGACGGGUCGAGCAGAGACGAAAGUCGGAGUUAGUGAUCCGGUGGUAUGUGAGUGGAAAUGCCAUCGCUCAACGGAUAAAA